GUACAUUCCUAUAAAAUAGCAUUAAUGCAAAAUAUCCCAUUAAAAUUCUGCAAUUAAGCGUGCUUAGGCUAGAGUAGUACGGGGAUGGGUGACUGCUCGAGAAGUCCUAGUGUUUUUUACA
rfam:Picea glauca, whole genome shotgun sequence.